CACAUGGUUCCCACUCUUGAAAGGCAAAUGGACCCUUUGGGACUUCUUUAAAGAACAAAAACAUUCUCUCCCUCCACCAACUUUUUUGUGUGGGAAAUUUGGGUACUCCACCACUACCUCUUUUGCCACCAUAUCUUGACCUUAGAAAAUUCACUGUCAAGAAUUCUCUUCUUGGAUAAGCCAGUUCGAAAGCCCUUGACAGUAAUUACUGAUUUGGGGCUGGAGAGACUGGAGAAAGAUCCCUUCCCCAUUCCUGCUGCAUUUCAGAAGAAAGGUGCAAGGGAAAAGGGGCGGCAGAGGAAGAGGAGGAGGUGAACAAGUCCAGACCAGGUUUGUCAGCUCAUUGAAGAGUGGCUUCUCAGGCAAGAGUCCCAGCCAAGCAAAUUGUUCCAGGGUCCCAGAAAUCUAUCCUUUAAGAGUGAACAAGAUUCUCCAAGUCAUUUCAUCUCAGUGUAACCUUAGCUUCUUCAAGCUAUUCAAGAAUUGUUUUUGUCCUCUUAAUGAGGACUGUGAGCAUGUCCAAACUUGAUAGUAAGGGU